GUCUCCGACGACUCCACGGCGGAGCGGCGCCGUCCGGCCACAUCUCAUCACGAAACCACCACCAAAAUGAUCGCCUCUUCAUUCUAUUCCUAACCCAGCCCUCUUUUCGCACAUCCAUCCACUUACGAGGAAGAUCGAUGUCGAAGAGUCACGGCGGUGUUCCUCGUUUUCCGGCAAACACCGGCGGCGACGGCGAUAACGAAGAGUAGGGUUCUUCUCCUUCUUCCUUCUUCUUCAAUUUUGUGUCUUAAAUCCUUUGAAUCGUGCCCUAAUUUUGAAAAACCCCUCUUCUGUGUUUUUCUGGGUUUCGGGUUAUCUCCUCUGUCGACGUGUUCUCGGUCUUCCAGUGAGCUUCUCGAGCUCCGAUGAGUCCUGCAAACCUCGGGUGAAACUCAGACGCCUUUUGAUGGAGCUUUGGAGCUUCAUCGAUCGGGGUUCAAGGCGGAGGCUUAGGAGUUCUGCUGGGGUUGAGAUUCGGCAAGAAGGUGUUUCAGAAUGUAUUUAUGGACGAGAGGAAGUUCUUGGGUUCAAUGUUUGGCAGAUUGAAGAACUUGGUGAAUCGAAGAUUUCGGGGAGGUCAUGGCGAAAUUCCGGCAAGACGCCGGAAUCAGGCGAGUAUUUCCGGCAAGUCGCCGGAAUUUGGUAGGGAUUCCGGCGAGGUAGUAGUUCCGGCAGUAGAAGAUGAGAUGAAGUGUUACACCUUAAAGGCUAUUGCUAUUGCUACUGGAGAUUAGAGAGGCCGAUAAUCACUUUGUAACGAUCAUCCAUCCACUAUGGAUUAAGCUACAAACAGGCGCGGAGCCAAGGCUUUGGUUGGUUGGGCCGAGUUUUCUGGAAUUAAAAAAAAAACCAUGUAUAUUAUGUUUUUUUUUUUUUUGUUACAUUAUUGUUCAAACAAGUCCAUGUGCCACCUAAACUGCCCGAUGCCUAUCUCUCUUCCUCUCUACGUGACUAAGCCUCUAUUUCUCAAUUCCUCUUCCACUUUUCCUUCUAGUUUUUCAGUCUUUUCCUCUUUGAAUCUCAUAAAAUCCUCAUUUUUCUUCCUAUAUUGGAUGUUAAAUUAUCAAUAUAAGUUAUUGCAUUUCAAUCUAUUCAAUUUGAGAAAAAUUUUGUUGGGUUUCUAGUUUGUCUAUGAUUUUUAGAGUUUCUCAAUACUUUCAUCAAUGCCUACUUUUUUACGAACACUUCAUUACAUACACCUGAGCUCAUACACUUUGCAUGGUUGUACUGGAAAAUUUUCUUUG